GGGGCGGAGUACGUAUUAUUAUGAUUAUUAUUAAUAAUAAUCACUUUCUUUGUUGAAAUUUGGUCAAUGCUGCUACUAAUCACCGUUGGAAGCCGCCUUUGGCUGGUUCUACGGAUAAGGAUUGGACUGAAGAAAGAAAAAACAAGUUUUUUAGAUAAUAUAAAGAAAAAACACGUUGACAUUAUAGCUUGUCAGUGGUAGGUACUUGGUUCGCCUAUAAUUGAAGCGUGUAUGGCUCUAAGCAGCUAGUAAAGAACUUAUAUUGGCCUAUCGCCGGUCUCCAACAAAAGUACGCAGGCUCUCUCUGAAGGAGGUGGUGCAAAGGCAUGAGAACAAGUGUUGGCUCCUGAUAGUGCAGGGCAGUCUUUCAGCUCUAGAUUCGACAAAGAAAUCCAGCCAUGAUGGUUAUUGCAGUUGGACAGUUUCUCUUGGCACUUGUGGCUUGCAGUACCCAUGUCGUCGUCUGCUCCUCACAUGGAAAUGCGACAGAUCGGUUAUCACUGCUUGAAUUCAAGGAGGCAAUCAGUCUUGAUCCCCAGCAAGCACUGAUGUCCUGGAAUGACAGCACUGACUUCUGUAACUGGGAAGGUGUCUCGUGUAGGCCUAAGAAUCGACAUCGCGUCACUUCCCUUGACCUCAGCGGUCGAGGCUUACAAGGGUGCAUUUCUCUUUCACUUGGAGAUCUUACAUUUCUAAGAAAUCUAUCCCUACCAGGCAAUCUGUUCAUUGGACAAAUCCCUGCGUCCCUUGGUCACCUGCAGCACCUCCAAAAUCUCUACUUGAGUAAUAACACACUCGAGGGUGAGAUACCAGACUUCGCAAAUUGUUCUAGUCUGCAGAUGCUAUGGCUGGAUCGCAAUCACCUAGUUGGACAAAUCCCUACACAUGCCAAUUUUGCUCCUCACCUUCAAAGCCUGCUGAUUUCAUAUAACAAUCUUACCAGCAAAAUUCCCGUUUCACUUUUUAACGUCACAACACUGACUCGACUUGAUAUCUCAUCAAAUCGGAUCAGUGGCGAGAUCCCAAGUGAAAUCGGAAAUAUGCCCAUGCUGCAAUUCUUUUUCACCUGGGGAAAUAAGCUAUCAGGAAGGUUCCAACCAGCCAUCCUCAGUGUGUCUUCUCUUGUUGUACUAAGCCUUGCCUCCAACUAUCUAAGUGGCCAACUGCCAUCCAACCUUGGUAGUUCAUCACCCAAUCUUCAAAAGUUUGGUUUAUUUAACAACUUGUUCGAUGGGCCUAUCCCAAAUUCGCUGGUGAAUGCUUCUAAGCUAUCCUUGGUUGAUUUGUCGAGUAAUAAUUUCACUGGGGUGGUGCCUAGUUCUAUUGGCAAACUUAAAGAGCUCUCCUGGUUGAAUCUUGAAUACAAUCAAUUACAAGCACGUGACAAGCAAGACUGGGAGUUUAUGAAUAGUCUAAGCAAUUGCACUGAGCUACAGAAAUUGUCGCUGCGUGGGAAUCGUCUUGAAGGACGGUUAUCAGAUUCAUUUGCCAACCUUUCUGCCAAACUUGAAAUGUUCUUCUUCGGAAGAAACAGACUAUCAGGGGUUUUUCCUGCCGGUAUAGCUAACCUUCACAGCCUGAAGUUUUUGGCAUUGGAUGAAAACCAGUUUACCAGUGUCAUUCCGGAAUGGCUAGGGACUCUGGAGAACUUGCGGGGUAUCGUAUUAAGGAACAAUGCUUUUACAGGAUAUAUUCCAUCUUCCCUCUCUAAUUUAUCUCUACUGGGGCAACUCUUUUUGGAUUCUAACCAGUUGUAUGGGCAUAUACCCCCGAGCUUGGGAAACCUCAAAACCCUUGAAUCAUUGGAACUUUCCAAUAACAUUCUUGAUGGUAGCAUUCCAAAGGAGAUAUUCAGCAUUCCUACACUUAGAGAAAUUGCGCUAUCUUCAAAUAGCCUAGGUAGACCACUUCCUACUGAAGUAGGCCGUGCCAAGCAACUACAGUACUUGUAUCUUUCAUCUAAUAACCUGUCCAGUGCCAUCCCUGACACACUGGGUAACUGUCACAGUAUGGAAUACAUUGAGUUGGAUCAGAAUUUUCUUAGUGGAAGCAUUCCAGUGUCACUGGGCAGCAUCAGAAACUUGCAAGUACUCAAUGUAUCUCAUAACCACUUAUCAGGAUCCAUACCAAAGUCUAUUGGCAGCCUGAUGUAUCUUGAACAACUAGAUUUGUCAUUCAACCAUCUUGAAGGUGAAGUCCCAGAAACAGGUAUAUUCAAGAAUGUGACUGCUUUAUGGGUGGAUGGGAACAAGGGGCUUUGCGGUGGUGCAGCGAAGCUACACCUACCGGCCUGCCCUGUUAUUCCUUCAAAUUCAACUAAGCACGUGAGAUCAACAGUGCUCAAAGUAGUAAUCCCAUUAGUCAGCAUGGUAUCACUUGCUGUGGUCAUAUCUGUCUUGCUAUUCUGGAGGAGAAAACGGAAGAAGGUUUACAUGUCUCUUCCUUCUUUUGGUCGAAAGUUUCCCAGGGUUUCUUGCCACGAUCUUGAUAGAGCAACUGAUGGAUUCUCCACAUCCAACUUGAUUGGCAGAGGAGGAUACAGUUCUGUGUACAAAGGUAGACUGUUGCAAGAUGGAACUACUGUUGCUGUGAAAGUUUUCACCCUAGAGACAAGAGGAGCACAAAAGAGCUUCAUUGUGGAAUGCAAUGCUUUGAGAAAUGCGCGGCACCGGAAUCUAGUUCCUAUCCUAACUGCUUGCUCGAGUAUCGAUUCUAAAGGGAAUGAUUUCAAAGCCCUAGUAUAUGAAUUCAUGCCAAAGGGUGACUUGCACGCACUACUGUACUCAGCUUUGGGAGAUGAAAACACUUCAAAUUCAGAGCGCAUUACACUAGCACAAAGGUUGAGCAUUGUGGUGGAUGUAGCAGAUGCACUGGAGUACCUCCACCAUGACAAGCAAGGAGCUAUUGUUCAUUGUGAUUUGAAGCCUAGCAACAUUCUUUUGGAUGAUAAUAUGACAGCUCAUGUUGGAGAUUUUGGCCUUGCGAGAUUCAAAGCUGGUCCGACACAGUCAUAUUUCAGUGACUCGAACUCUGCUUCUUCGACUAUAAUAAAAGGAACGAUCGGAUAUGUCGCUCCAGUGGGCAACUGGUGGUGAAGUUUCAGUUGCUGGGGACGUUUAUAGCUAUGGGAUUAUUCUGUUCGAAACAUUUUUGAGGAAGAGACCGACAGAAGAUAUGUUCAAGGAUGGACUGAGCAUCGCAAACUUUGUUGAGAUGAAUUUUCCUGCUGGGAUAUCACAGAUUGUUGACUCUGAAUUGCUACAAGAUCGUCCAGCAGCCACGAAGGAAAAAGAUUUGGACUGUUUAGUCUCGGUGCUAAACGUUGGACUUUGCUGCACCAAGUUGUCCCCGAAUGAGCGCCCCAACAUGCAUGAAGUGGCUGCAAGCCUUCAUGGAGUUAGGGAGGCAUAUCUUGGAGGAAGAUAAGUCCCGCAGGUUGCCUCAAAAACCUGACCACAGGAGGUGGCUGCUGCGAACAACGAGUUUGUGGCUUCUGAAUGUAUGGUCAGGGUGUUCUACUACAAGUUUAUUUUGCUGGAGUACUGUUGUGCAAUGCGCUCAGUCUCUGAUGUUACUCAAAGCAGAGUCUGAGUGAUGGCUCUGGUUGGGAUAAUUUCGGGUUACAUGUAUUUUAAGGAAUUAAGUAGCUGGUUCCAUGCUUUGCAUGUUACUAGUAGUAUGAUGAUUGCUUUCGUGGGCAUUGUUGCAAUAUGAUUUGCUGGUCUAGACUCUUUUGAUGUAGAAGUGGUGACUAUUUUCUUACAGCUUGAGCCUACAUCCUAUAUAUGUUUUUCUCAAUCCAUGUAGAGAUUAAAUUGAUCAUGCAUCUGUACAUGUAAGUUGAAGUUUUUAGAAAGAUCUCCUUGAUAUAUACACGGAAUUUGGUUGGAAAACAGUGAACUAUCCAAGUUUCCUGUCUGGAACCCUAUGUUGAAGCAAGGAGGGAGAAGGGAUGGGGAAGAGGGUCAGCUCGGAUGGGUGUGGCCAUGUGGCAAAGGGAAAGCACACGCCCUUGGGCGAGGGUGGAGGGGGAGCGGCAAAAGUUGCCUUUUUCGACGGGGCU